rnacentral:rRNA from 1 species
UACGGAGGAUCCAAGCGUUAUCCGGAUUUAUUGGGCUUAAAGGGUGCGUAGGCGGCCUGUUAAGUCAGGGGUGAAAGACGGUAGCUCAACUAUCGCAGUGCCCUUGAUACUGAUGGGCUUGAAUGGACUAGAGGUAGGCGGAAUGUGACAAGUAGCGGUGAAAUGCAUAGAUAUGUCACAGAACACCGAUUGCGAAGGCAGCUUACUAUGGUCUUAUUGACGCUGAGGCACGAAAGCGUGGGGAGCAAACAGG